UGGGGAAUAUUGGACAAUGGGGGGAACCCUGAUCCAGCCAUGCCGCGUGUGUGAAGAAGGCCUUAUGGUUGUAAAGCACUUUAAGCGAGGAGGAGGGUACUGGUAUUAAUACUACCAGGUACUGGACGUUACUCGCAGAAUAAGCACCGGCUAACUCUGUGCCAGCAGCCGCGGUAAUACAGAGGGUGCGAGCGUUAAUCGGAUUUACUGGGCGUAAAGCGUGCGUAGGCGGCUAAUUGAGUCGGAUGUGAAAUCCCCGAGCUUAACUUGGGAAUUGCAUUCGAUACUGGUUAGCUAGAGUGUGGGAGAGGAUGGUAGAAUUCCAGGUGUAGCGGUGAAAUGCGUAGGGAUCUGGAGGAAUACCGAUGGCGAAGGCAGCCAUCUGGCAUAACACUGACGCUGAGGUACGAAAGCAUGGGGAGCAAACAGG
rnacentral:rRNA from 1 species